UCCUCUUCAUCAAAAACAUGAGUGUGCUCUGCGUCCUCAUCUGGACUCUCCUCUGCUUGACUCAAGGGUCUGCUGGACAAAACGUUGUGGUGACUCAGUCAGCAUCCAAAUCUGUGCAGCUUGGUCAGACUGUAAACAUCAAUUGUAAAGUCAGUACACAAGUAGCUCAGUAUUCUGGUUCACAAUACUUCCUGGCCUGGUACCAUCAGAAAACUGGAGAAGCUCCCAAAGCUCUGAUCUACUUAACAUCAAACAGACUUUCAGGAAUCUCCUCCAGACUGAGUGGAAGUGGAGCAGGGAAUGGCCUGGACUUCACUCUGAGCAUCAGUGCAGCUCAGGCUGACGAUGCAGGAGUUUAUUACUGUCAGAGUUACCACAGCACGCCGAUGUUCACACAGUGAAACACACUCGUACAAAAACCUCACAGACGGAAGCUGCAGCUGCAAGAUUAUCAGUGUCUGCAGUGAGGACACACACACACAAACACACACACAAAGACACACACACACACACACACACACACAAACACA